AUCCUGGCUCAGGACGAACGCUGGCGGCGUGCCUAAUACAUGCAAGUCGAGCGGACAGAAGGGAGCUUGCUCCCGGAUGUUAGCGGCGGACGGGUGAGUAACACGUGGGUAACCUGCCUGUAAGACUGGGAUAACUCCGGGAAACCGGAGCUAAUACCGGAUAGUUCCUUGAACCGCAUGGUUCAAGGAUGAAAGACGGUUUCGGCUGUCACUUACAGAUGGACCCGCGGCGCAUUAGCUAGUUGGUGAGGUAACGGCUCACCAAGGCGACGAUGCGUAGCCGACCUGAGAGGGUGAUCGGCCACACUGGGACUGAGACACGGCCCAGACUCCUACGGGAGGCAGCAGUAGGGAAUCUUCCGCAAUGGACGAAAGUCUGACGGAGCAACGCCGCGUGAGUGAUGAAGGUUUUCGGAUCGUAAAGCUCUGUUGUUAGGGAAGAACAAGUGCAAGAGUAACUGCUUGCACCUUGACGGUACCUAACCAGAAAGCCACGGCUAAC
rnacentral:rRNA from 1 species